rnacentral:rRNA from 1 species
UUGAACGCUGGCGGCAUGCUUUACACAUGCAAGUCGAACGGUAACAGGUUAAGCUGACGAGUGGCGAACGGGUGAGUAAUGCAUCGGAACGUGCCCGAUCGUGGGGGAUAACGCAGCGAAAGCUGCGCUAAUACCGCAUACGAUCUGAGGAUGAAAGCGGGGGACCGUAAGGCCUCGCGCGAUCGGAGCGGCCGAUGUCAGAUUAGGUAGUUGGUGGUGUAAAGGCUCACCAAGCCGACGAUCUGUAGCUGGUCUGAGAGGACGACCAGCCACACUGGAACUGAGACACGGUCCAGACUCCUACGGGAGGCAGCAGUGGGGAAUUUUGGACAAUGGGCGAAAGCCUGAUCCAGCAAUGCCGCGUGCAGGACGAAGGCCUUCGGGUUGUAAACUGCUUUUGUACGGAGCGAAACGGUCUCUUCUAAUAAAGGGGGCUAAUGACGGUACCGUAAGAAUAAGCACCGGCUAACUACGU